rnacentral:rRNA from 1 species
GAGUUUGAUCCUGGCUCAGGAUGAACGCUGGCGGCGUGCUUAACACAUGCAAGUCGAGCGAAGCGCUUUGGUUAGAUUCUUCGGAUGAAGACCUUUGUGACUGAGCGGCGGACGGGUGAGUAACGCGUGGGUAACCUGCCUCAUACAGGGGGAUAACAGUUAGAAAUGACUGCUAAUACCGCAUAAGCGCACGGUACCGCAUGGUACAGUGUGAAAAACUCCGGUGGUGUGAGAUGGACCCCGCGUCUGAUUAGAUAGUUGGUGGGUAACGGCCUACCAAGUCAACGAUCAGUAGCCGACCUGAGAGGGUGACCGGCCACAUUGGGACUGAGACACGGCCCAAACUCCUACGGGAGGCAGCAGUGGGGAAUAUUGCACAAUGGGGGAAACCCUGAUGCAGCGACGCCGCGUGAGUGAAGAAGUAUUUC